GUGACUGCGGAAGGAUCAUUAC
rnacentral:rRNA from 1 species